AGCUUUGUGCAGUGGCAGUAUCAUAGCCAAUGAGGUUUAUCCGAGGCGUGAUUAUUGCUAAUUGAAGAAAAAAAAAGAAAAAGU
ensembl:snRNA LOC120096861 U4 spliceosomal RNA